rnacentral:ribozyme from 1 species
UUUUUUUUUUUUUUUUUUUUUUUUUUUUUUUUUGUUU